CACCUCCUUAGAGUUUGAUCCUGGCUCAGAUUGAACGCUGGCGGCAGGCCUAACACAUGCAAGUCGAACGGUAACAGGAAUCAGCUUGCUGAUUCGCUGACGAGUGGCGGACGGGUGAGUAAUGUCUGGGAAACUGCCUGAUGGAGGGGGAUAACUACUGGAAACGGUAGCUAAUACCGCAUAACGUCGCAAGACCAAAGAGGGGGACCUUCGGGCCUCUUGCCAUCGGAUGUGCCCAGAUGGGAUUAGCUAGUAGGUGGGGUAACGGCUCACCUAGGCGACGAUCCCUAGCUGGUCUGAGAGGAUGACCAGCCACACUGGAACUGAGACACGGUCCAGACUCCUACGGGAGGCAGCAGUGGGGAAUAUUGCACAAUGGGCGCAAGCCUGAUGCAGCCAUGCCGCGUGUAUGAAGAAGGCCUUCGGGUUGUAAAGUACUUUCAGCGGGGAGGAAGGGAGUAAAGUUAAUACCUUUGCUCAUUGACGUUACCCGCAGAAGAAGCACCGGCUAACUCCGUGCCAGCAGCCGCGGUAAUACGGAGGGUGCAAGCGUUAAUCGGAAUUACUGGGCGUAAAGCGCACGCAGGCGGUUUGUUAAGUCAGAUGUGAAAUCCCCGGGCUCAACCUGGGAACUGCAUCUGAUACUGGCAAGCUUGAGUCUCGUAGAGGGGGGUAGAAUUCCAGGUGUAGCGGUGAAAUGCGUAGAGAUCUGGAGGAAUACCGGUGGCGAAGGCGGCCCCCUGGACGAAGACUGACGCUCAGGUGCGAAAGCGUGGGGAGCAAACAGGAUUAGAUACCCCUGGUAGUCCACGCCGUAAACGAUGUCGACUUGGAGGUUGUGCCCUUGAGGCGUGGCUUCCCGGAGCUAACGCGUUAAGUCGACCGCCUGGGGAGUACGGCCGCAAGGUUAAAACUCAAAUGAAUUGACGGGGGCCCGCACAAGCGGUGGAGCAUGUGGUUUAAUUCGAUGCAACGCGAAGAACCUUACCUGGUCUUGACAUCCACAGAACUUUCCAGAGAUGGAUUGGUGCCUUCGGGAACUGUGAGACAGGUGCUGCAUGGCUGUCGUCAGCUCGUGUUGUGAAAUGUUGGGUUAAGUCCCGCAACGAGCGCAACCCUUAUCCUUUGUUGCCAGCGGUCCGGCCGGGAACUCAAAGGAGACUGCCAGUGAUAAACUGGAGGAAGGUGGGGAUGACGUCAAGUCAUCAUGGCCCUUACGACCAGGGCUACACACGUGCUACAAUGGCGCAUACAAAGAGAAGCGACCUCGCGAGAGCAAGCGGACCUCAUAAAGUGCGUCGUAGUCCGGAUUGGAGUCUGCAACUCGACUCCAUGAAGUCGGAAUCGCUAGUAAUCGUGGAUCAGAAUGCCACGGUGAAUACGUUCCCGGGCCUUG
rnacentral:rRNA from 1 species